AGGGAUCAUUACACAAAUAUGAAGGCGGGCUGGAAUCUCUCGGGGUUACAGCCUUGCUGAAUUAUUCACCCUUGUCUUUUGCGUACUUCUUGUUUCCUUGGUGGGUUCGCCCACCACUAGGACAAACAUAAACCUUUUGUAAUUGCAAUCAGCGUCAGUAACAAAUUAAUAAUUACAACUUUCAACAACGGAUCUCUUGGUUCUGGCAUCGAUGAAGAACGCAGCGAAAUGCGAUAAGUAGUGUGAAUUGCAGAAUUCAGUGAAUCAUCGAAUCUUUGAACGCACAUUGCGCCCUUUGGUAUUCCAAAGGGCAUGCCUGUUCGAGCGUCAUUUGUACCCUCAAGCUUUGCUUGGUGUUGGGCGUCUUGUCUCUAGCUUUGCUGGAGACUCGCCUUAAAGUAAUUGGCAGCCGGCCUACUGGUUUCGGAGCGCAGCACAAGUCGCACUCUCUAUCAGCAAAGGUCUAGCAUCCAUUAAGCCUUUUUUUCAACUUUUGACCUCGGAUCAGGUAGGGAUACCCGCUGAACUUAA
rnacentral:rRNA from 1 species